rnacentral:rRNA from 1 species
AUGAACGCUAGCUACAGGCUUAACACAUGCAAGUCGAGGGCAGCAUGAACAUAGCUUGCUAUGUUUGAUGGCGACCGGCGCACGGGUGCGUAACACGUAUCCAAUCUGCCCGUUACUCGGGGAUAGCCUUCUGAAAGGAAGAUUAAUACCCGAUAGUAUCCAUUAGCGGCAUCGCCUAUGUAUCAAAGAUUUAUCGCUGAAAGAUGGGCUCGCGUCCGAUUAGGUAGUUGGUGGGGUAAUGGCCUACCAAGCCGACGAUCGGUAGCCGGACUGAGAGGUUGAACGGCCACAUUGGGACUGAGACACGGUCCAGACUCCUACGGGAGGCAGCAGUGAGGAAUAUUGGUCAAUGGUCGGAAGACUGAACCAGCCAAGUAGCGUGAAGGAUGAAGGUUCUAUGGAUUGUAAACUUCUUUUAUACGGGAAUAAAACGUCCCACGUGUGGGAUCUUGUAUGUACCGUAUGAAUAAGCAUCGGCUAACUCCGUG